rnacentral:rRNA from 1 species
UACAGAGGUCUCAAACGUUGUUCGGAUUCAUUGGGCGUAAAGGGUGCGUAGGUGGCGCGCUAAGUCAGGUGUGAAAUUUCGGAGUUCAACUCCGAAACUGCAUUUGAUACUGGCGUGCUUGAGGACUGGAGAGGAGACUGGAAUUUACGGUGUAGCAGUGAAAUGCGUAGAGAUCGUAAGGAAGACCAGUGGCGAAGGCGGGUCUCUGGACAGUUCCUGACACUGAGGCACGAAGGCCAGGGGAGCAAACGGG